CAAGUCGUAGCCGGUGUUAUUACUUCUGAGUCAGAAGUCCUAACACCUGUUUCGACUUA
rnacentral:pre_miRNA from 1 species